GAGUUUGAUCGUGGCUCAGAUUGAACGCUGGCGGCAUGCUUUACACAUGCAAGUCGAGCGGCAGCGCGGGACUCAGGCAACUGAGCCCUGGCGGCGAGCGGCGGACGGGUGAGUAAUGCAUCGGAACGUAUCCCGUAGUGGGGGACAACCCAGCGAAAGCUGGGCUAAUACCGCAUAUGCUCUACGGAGGAAAGUGGGGGACUCGCAAGGGCCUCACGCUAUGGGAGCGGCCGAUGUCCGAUUAGCUAGUUGGUGAGGUAAUGGCUCACCAAGGCAACGAUCAGUAACUGGUCUGAGAGGACGAUCAGUCACACUGGAACUGAGACACGGUCCAGACUCCUACGGGAGGCAGCAGUGGGGAAUAUUGGACAAUGGGCGCAAGCCUGAUCCAGCAAUGCCGCGUGUGUGAAGAAGGCCUU
rnacentral:rRNA from 1 species